AUUGAACGCUGGCGGCAUGCUUUACACAUGCAAGUCGAACGGUAACAGGCCUUCGGGUGCUGACGAGUGGCGAACGGGGGGGUAAUGCAUCGGAACGUGCCCAGCGGUGGGGGUUAAAGCAGCGAAAGCAGCGCUAAUACCGCACGUGAUCUGAGGAUGAAAGCGGGGGACCAAGCAGGAAUGUUUGGCCUCGCGGCUCUGGAGCGGCCGCUGUCGGAUUGGGUAGUUGGGGGGCUAAAGACCAACCAAGCGGACGAUCUGUAGCUGGUCUGAGAGGACGGCCGCCCACACUGGGACUGAGCCACGGCCCAUGGGCCUGAGGGACGCACCAGUGGGGAAUGUUGGGCAACAGGGGCGAGCCUUAUACAACGAGGCCGCGUGUGGGAAAGAGGCCUUCGGUGUGUAAACCGGUUUUUUACGGAACGAAAAGGCUCUGGCUAAUACCUGGGGCGGAUGACGGUACCGGAAGAAUAAGCACCGGCUAACUACGUG
rnacentral:rRNA from 1 species